GUCAAAACUUUUAUUUGGAAUUAAAAUUGAAAGAUCAUAUCAUAGGGAACAUGUGUACUAAGUUUCAAGUUGAUGUAACUUUAACUUCAUCAAAAACUACCUUGACCAAAAACUUUAACCUGAACUUUGCACUAUCAUUUUCUAUGUUCAGUGGACCAUGACAUUGGAGUCAAAACUAUAAUUUGGCAUUAAAAUUAGAAAGAUCAUAUCAUGGGGAACAUGUGUAUUAAGUUUCAAGUUGAUUGGACUUCAGCUUCGUCAAAAACUACCUCGACCAAAAACUUCAACCGGACGGACGAACGGAGGCACAGACCAGAAAACAUAAUGCCCCUCUACUAUCG
rnacentral:lncRNA from 1 species